UCGACAACUCUGGUAUUGAUUGGUGCUUGCAUNUGAUUUACAUUUGAGUGAGUGGCGAACUGGUGAGUAACACGUGGGAAACCUGCCCAGAAGCGGGGGAUAACACCUGGAAACAGAUGCUAAUACCGCAUAACAACUUGGACCGCAUGGUCCGAGNUUGAAAGAUGGCUUCGGCUAUCACUUUUGGAUGGUCCCGCGGCGUAUUAGCUAGAUGGUGGGGUAACGGCUCACCAUGGCAAUGAUACGUAGCCGACCUGAGAGGGUAAUCGGCCACAUUGGGACUGAGACACGGCCCAAACUCCUACGGGAGGCAGCAGUAGGGAAUCUUCCACAAUGGACGAAAGUCUGAUGGAGCAACGCCGCGUGAGUGAAGAAGGGUUUCGGCUCGUAAAACUCUGUUGUUAAAGAANAACAUAUCUGAGAGUAACUGUUCAGGUAUUGACGGUAUUUAACCAGAAAGCCACGGCUAACUACGUGCCAGCAGCCGCGGUAAUACGUAGGUGGCAAGCGUUGUCCGGAUUUAUUGGGCGUAAAGCGAGCGCAGGCGGUUUUUUAAGUCUGAUGUGAAAGCCUUCGGCUCACCCGAANAAGUGCAUCGGAAACUGGGAAACUUGAGUGCAGAAAA
rnacentral:rRNA from 2 species